UCUCUGGAGGACUAGUGGUUAGGCUUCAACUCUCUCACCGCCGUAGCCCGGGUUAGAUUCCUGGCCAGGGAA